rnacentral:rRNA from 1 species
CCUCGGGAGGCAGCAGUAAGGAAUAUUGGACAAUGCUCGCAAGAGUGAUCCAGCCAUGCCGCGUGCAGGAAGAAUGCCCUAUGGGUAGUAAACUGCUUUUGAACUAGAGAAAACCCCAGUACGUGUACUGGGCUGAUAGUAUAGUUAGAAUAAGCAUCGGCUAACUUCGUGCCAGCAGCCGCGGUAAGACGAAGGAUGCAAGCGUUAUCCGGAUUCAUUGGGUUUAAAGGGAGCGUAGGUGGACUGAUAAGUCAGUGGUGAAAUCUCCGAGCUUAACUCGGAAAUUGCCAUUGAUACUGUUGGUCUUGAGUACAGUUGCUGUGGGCGGAAUAUGACAUGUAGUGGUGAAAUACAUAGAGAUGUCAUAGAACACCGAUUGCGAAGGCAGCUCACAAAGCUGUAACUGACACUAGAGGCGUCGAAACGUAGUCGGGGAGGUACAAACAAGGAGUAGAUACCUACGUAGUACGUCACCGUAAACCGAACUGAGUUAACUUACGUCUGUCGUACGGGGUACGGGAACCUUUAACCGUUUAGGUCGUUACGUACGGAAACGGAACGGACGUAAGUUAAAGUUACCCUACCCGUACGGGGUAGGGUAACCGUCCCGGGCCGACCGGUACGGUAACGUAACCGAACGGAAAGUUAGUUACGGGACCGUUGAGGACGUUGGCCGACGGACGCACC